UGGGAUGUAGUCUAAUGGUAGGACAACAGACUUUGACUCUGUAUGUAAUGGUUCGAUUCCAUUCAUCCCAG
rnacentral:tRNA from 1 species